rnacentral:rRNA from 1 species
GCUAUGAAAGAUCCUUCGGGUGAUUGNUUAACUAGAAAGCGGCGGACGGGUGAGUAACGCGUGAGUAACCUGCCCCAUACACAGGGAUAGCCAUUGGAAACGAUGAUUAAUACCUGAUAACACAUAUUUAACACAUGUUAAUUAUGUCAAAGAUUUAUCGGUAUGGGAUGGACUCGCGUCUNUUUNGCUAGUUGGUAAGGUAACGGCUUACCAAGGCGACGAUCAGUAGCCGACCUGAGAGGGUGAUCGGCCACACUGGAACUGAGACACGGUCCAGACUCCUACGGGAGGCAGCAGUGGGGAAUAUUGCACAAUGGGCGCAAGCCUGAUGCAGCAACGCCGCGUGAACGAAGAAGGCCUUCGGGUCGUAAAGUUCUUUUCUUAGGGAAGAAAAAUGACGGUACCUAAGGAAUAAGCACCGGCUAAAUACGUGCCAGCAGCCGCGGGUAAUACGUAUGGUGCAAGCGUUAUCCGGAAUCACUGGGCGUAAAGGGUACCGUAGGCGGUUUUGCAAGUCAGGAAGUGAAAGGCUACGGCUCAACCGUAGUAAGCUUUUGAAACUGCNAGACUAGAGUUCAGGAGAGGUAAGUGNAAUUCCUAGUGUAGAGGUGAAAUUCGUAGAUAUUAGGAGGAACACCAGUGGCGAAGGCGACUUACUGGACUGAACUGNCGCUGAGGUACGAAAGCGUGGGGGACGAACAGGAUUAGAUACCCUGGUAGUCCACGCCGUNA